rnacentral:lncRNA from 1 species
UCCAUCAUCAGGUUCCUUAACAACUUCAAUCUUCUUCAUUCUCUCCCGUUUGUUAUAUCAUCUGCAUCUACAUACUUUAGAGAUUGAAUUUCCUCCCUUUUUGUACAUUGCUCUUCAGCUUUUAUAGGCAACGAAGAUGUCAUAAUAAUCGGCAAUUGAAUUUCCUCCCUUUUCCUACAUUCCUCUUCAGCUUUCACAAGCAAAGAAGAAGAUGUCUUAAUAAUCGAAACUUGAAUUUCAAUUAUUUUCCUAUCACUAGGAUACCCAUAACCAGUUACUGAAGUAGAAGGGUUCAGUAUUUU